rnacentral:rRNA from 1 species
CCUACGGGCGGCAGCAGUGGGGAAUUUUGCGCAAUGCUCGUAAGAGUGACGCAGCGACGCCGCGUGAAUGACGAAGGCCUUCGGGUCGUAAAGUUCUUUCGACAGGGAAGAAAAUGCCUAGAAGUAACUGUGUAUGUAUUGACGGUACCUGUAUAAGCAGCCCCGGCUAACUCCGUGCCAGCAGCCGCGGUAAUACGGAGGGGGCGAGCGUUGUUCGGAGGGACUGGGCGUAAAGAGCACGUAGGCGGUGUUGUAAGUCAUUAGUCAAAGACUAGAGCUCAACUUUAGUAAGGCUAGUGAUACUAUAAUACUAGAGUAUCAGAGAGGAUUGCAGAAUUCCUGGUGUAGCGGUGAAAUGCGUAGAUAUCAGGAGGAAUACCGUUAGCGAAGGCGGCAAUCUGGCUGGAAACUGACGCUGAGGUGCGAAAGCGUGGGUAGCAAACAGGAUUAGAUACCCUUGUAGUC